ACGCUGGCGGCGUGCCUAACACAUGCAAGUCGAGCGAGGAAUGACUGGUAGCUUGCUACUGGUUAUUCCUAGCGGCGGACGGGUGAGUAACGCGUGGGUAACCUGCCUUGUACUGGGGGACAACAGUUGGAAACGACUGCUAAUACCGCAUAAGCGCACAGCUUCGCAUGAAGCGGUGUGAAAAACUCCGGUGGUACAAGAUGGACCCGCGUCUGAUUAGCUGGUUGGUGAGGUAACGGCCCACCAAGGCGACGAUCAGUAGCCGGCCUGAGAGGGUGACCGGCCACAUUGGGACUGAGACACGGCCCAGACUCCUACGGGAGGCAGCAGUGGGGAAUAUUGCACAAUGGAGGAAACUCUGAUGCAGCGACGCCGCGUGAGUGAAGAAGUAUUUCGGUAUGUAAAGCUCUAUCAGCAGGGAAGACAGUGACGGUACCUGACUAAGAAGCUCCGGCUAAAUACGUG
rnacentral:rRNA from 1 species